AACGAACGCUGGCGGCAGGCUUAACACAUGCAAGUCGAACGAGAUCUUCGGAUCUAGUAGCAGACGGGUGAGGAACACGUGGGAACAUCCCUUUCAGUUCGGAAUAACGUUGGGAAACUAACGCUAAUACCGGAUACGUCCUUCGGGAGAAAGAUUUAUCGCUGAAAGAUUGGCCCGCGUCUGAUUAGCUAGUUGGUGAGGUAACGGCUCACCAAGGCUACGAUCAGUAGCUGAUCUGAGAGGAUGAUCAGCCACAUUGGGACUGAGACACGGCCCAAACUCCUAAGGGAGGCAGCAGUGGGGAAUAUUGGACAAUGGGCGCAAGCUUGAUCCAGCCAUGCGGCGUGAGUGAUGACGGCCUUCGGGUUGUAAAGCUCUUUUGUCCGGGAAGAUAAUGACUGUACCGGAAGAAUAAGCCCCGGCAAACUUCGUGCCAGCAGCCGCCGUAA
rnacentral:rRNA from 1 species